CCAUAUAAGGACAUUGUAAUCUGUUAAUGUUUGAAUGCGUAUUAUAAGAACAUUUACACUAGUUUUUACAUUAUUUAACUUGUUGAAUAUGUUUAAAUGUAGAUGCUUCGAAUAUGCCAUUGACAGAUUUUUACAUAUAUUGCACUUAAAUCUUUUCGAUUUUAUAAUAAUAUGAUUAUCAUUGAUUUUUGUAUUUAUUAUAUGUGCAUAUAUGAUUGACAAUGCGAAAGAUUCAGGAUACCUUCGGG
rnacentral:rRNA from 1 species